UUUCCGGUUGAUCCCGCCGGACCUGACUGCUAUCGGAUCGAUACUAAGCCAUGCGAGUCUUUGCAGUAAUGCAAGGCAUACGGCUCAGUAACACGUAGUCAACUUACCCUAUGGACGAGGAUAAUCUCGGGAAACUGAGCAUAAUACUCGAUAGAUCAUAAUGCCUGGAAUGGUUUAUGGUUGAAAUGAUUCGUCGCCAUAGGAUGGGACUGCGGCCUAUCAGCUUGUUGGUGAGGUAAUGGCCCACCAAGGCGAUUACAAGUACGGGCUCUGAGAGGAGAAGCCCGGAGAUGGGUACUGAGACAAGGACCCAGGCCCUAUGGGGCGCAGCAGGCGAGAAAACUUUGCAAUGUGCGAAAGCACGACAAGGUUAAUCCGAGUGAUUUCUGCUAAAGGAAUCUUUUGCAAGUCAUAGAACCACUAGUGAAUAAGGGGUGGGCAAGUUCUGGUGUCAGCCGCCGCGGUAAAACCAGCACCUCAAGUGGUCAGGAGGAUUAUUGGGCCUAAAGCAUCCGUAGCCGGCUCUGUAAGUUUUCGGUUAAAUCCAUGUGCUCAACGCAUGGGCUGCCGAAAAUACUGCAUAGCUAGGGAGUGGGAGAGGUAGACGGUACUCGGUAGGAAGGGGUAAAAUCCUUUGAUCUAUCGAUGACCACCUGUGGCGAAGGCGGUCUACCAGAACACGUUCGACGGUGAGGGAUGAAAGCUGGGGGAGCAAACCGGAUUAGAUACCCGGGUAGUCCCAGCUGUAAACGAUGCAGACUCGAUGAUGCAUUGGCAUAUAGCCAGUGCAGUGUCGCAGGGAAGCCGUUAAGUCUGCCGCCUGGGAAGUACG
rnacentral:rRNA from 1 species